AUUAAACUAGAAACCUUUCUGUGUUUUUUAAAACGCAAAUUAAAAAUAUAACCAAGUUUAAGCACAACUUCCUCCCAUAACUCCAGCGAGUGUUUCCCGGGGUGAAAGGUGAAAGGUGAGGCUAACGCAGCUACCACGAUCAGUGAGGAGACAUCCACCGGUGUGCUUAAUUGGAAAUCGUUAUAAAAAGCCUCCAGGUGAAAAUUGAUUUAAAACCAAAGUUGUGUGUACAAGAUGCAGUGAUGAACCGUCUUUCUACCGAAGCACAACGAGUCUGAAGUGGCAUCGUCGAGUUAAGCAGCCCUUUGUUGUUAGCAAAGAUGCUACCAGAGAGUGAAUGUAGCCGCGCUCGGCAAACUACACCGGGAGAGUUCAGCCAGGACAGGUUUGACAACAAAACGACAACUAUGCUAACUAAUGGACAGACUACAGACUGCAGACCCAUCAACACUGUUGAAGACCAAGGGCAUCAGGUUUCAUCUCUACAUCACAGGGAGGUAUACUAAGUGGGUCCAGCAGUGCCUGAUCUUCUUCCAUGCAGUUCCUCUUUGCUCAGAGCCAGCUGUGAAUCAAAAGCCCAGGAAUAUGUGAGUCAAAGAAAAGAGGAAGAGGAAACAGAAAGAGAAGAAGAAACAGCUUUGGGAGAGAGGACACAGACAGAGGGCGGAUGAAAAUCCUCCACGGGAAUGUCUUUGGAGCUGAUGUGUUGCAUAGUAACAGACUGCAUUCCAGUACCUAGACCGUGUAUUGAUUAAAAGCUUCUCUUUUAUCUCAAAGUGCUUUUAUUUCCCGCCUUUUUAAAGGUAUUGAUACAUACCCAAACAGAGACUCUGGCUUUAUUUUUAUUAGUUUGAGAUGUUCCUCCCUGCCAGAUAGAAACAUCAAACAGGAUCACUGACAUAC